UGUCAUUUUGUAAUAAACAGAGACUUUAUUCAGUUUGCGACUUACUUUUGUAAAUUGUGUACAUAUAGAUUACAUAAAUCCGUUGUAAACUGUAUCUUGCGAAUCCUCCCCAAAAGGAAAACGGCGGUGAUAGACUACCGGUAUCAAGGCAUCAAAACUAGUGAUUUAUAAUAACUGUGCCUACCCCCCCCCCCCCCAAAAAAAAAGACUUUUUUCCUUUUAGCUAAGUUUUGAUAAUUAGAGAUGGCUGCUAUGGAAUCAAAAGCGCAUAAAAAAACCCUUAUGUCCUCGCGAUCAAGUAAAAUUUAUUUUUAUUUGGAACAUUUUUUGAUAGGUUGUUACAUUAUAAAUUCCUUAUAAUUAAAUAAUGUGUAAAUACAUUCAUUACAACGUGGGCUUGAACUAUAUGUUUGGAGGUUUUUUCCCGUCAUCUCAUUCUGGGCAAUUAAGCUUUUCCGAUUGUUCGUGUGAUGUCUGACCAACUUUUAUUUUUAGUCAGCAUUUUAGGCUCAUCACUUUACUUCGAUGUUUUGGAUAUUACACCGUGGGAGAUCGAUGUUUGUUUUUUUUUCGUCAUCUGGGCAAUUAAGCUUUUCCGAUUUUAAGUUUAAUGUCUGACAAACUUUUAUUUUUAAUCAGCAUUUUAGGCUUAUCAUCACUUAACUUCGUUGUUUUGGAUAUUUUUCAUCUUGUAUUUUUAAAUCAUGCGUGUGAAUUUUUUCAUAAUUAAAAUAUUAAAUCCGUUUGUGUAAAUCUUGCAAAGAGCCAAGUGGAAUGUGGCAUAUUUUGUUUUGAACUGAUGUUCUAAUGGAUAUGUAGAUGUAUAAAAUAUGCAAAUACAAUAGUUUGUAAAUACUAUUUUAAAUGAAUUAAUGUAGAUAUAUGAUACUGUAUUAAUACCAUGGCAUUUCUUGGUGUAUAUUUUGAUUAAUCCAAGCGAUUUAUAUCAAUUAGUGCUUCAGUUUUUAAGUAGAGUUAUAUAUAUUUUAACUGCAUGCAUGUAAAUAUAUCUUUGUUAUCGAUAGAUAUAGAUAAUUACAUAUUUACAAUGAAUAUGAUUCAGACUGAAUUUCGUUUGUGUACCGGUAUCUACAGUUAUCUGUUAUGUUGUUAUUUUAAAACCCACCGUGUUAUAGUUAAGGUGGUACGGGACACCUCCAUAUUGUGACGUAUUUCCGAUCGAAAUUAACAAUAAAAUGAAGUAUAAAUUCAUA
rnacentral:misc_RNA from 1 species